rnacentral:rRNA from 1 species
CCUACGGGUGGCUGCAGUCGAGAAUCAUUCACAAUGGGGGAAACCCUGAUGGUGCGACGCCGCGUGGGGGAAUGAAGGUCUUCGGAUUGUAAACCCCUGUCAUGUGGGAGCAAAUUAAAAAGAUAGUACCACAAGAGGAAUAGACGGCUAACUCUGUGCCAGCAACAGCGGUAAUACAGAGGUCUCAAGCGUUGUUCGGAUUUAUUGGGCGUAAAGCGUGCGUAGGCGGGUUCGUAAGUCGUGUGUGAAAGGCGCGGGCUCAACCCGCGGACGGCACAUGAUACUGCGAGACUAGAGUAAUGGAGGGGUAGCCGGAAUUCUCGGUGUAGCGGUGAAAUGCGUAGAUAUCGAGAGGAACACUCGUGGCGAAGGCGGGUUCCUGGACAUUAACUGACGCUGAGGCACGAAGGCCAGGGGAGCGAAAGGGAUUAGAUACCCUUGUAGUC